GCAGAUAGACACUAGGUUAAUAUGAGCUGACCUCUCUCUGAUGAUAGACACUAGGUUAAUAUGAGCUGACCUCUCUCUGAUGAUAGACACUAGGUUAAUAUGGGCUGACCUCUCUCUGAUGAUAGACACUAGGUUAAUAUGAGCUGACCUCCCUCUGAUGAUAGACACUAGGUUAAUAUGAGCUGACCUCCCUCUGAUGAUAGACACUAGGUUAAUAUGAGCUGACCUCUCUCUGAUGAUAGACACUAGGUUAAUAUGAGCUGACCUCUCUCUGAUGAUAGACACUAGGUUAAUAUGAGCUGACCUCCCUCUGAUGAUAGACACUAGGUUAAUAUGAGCUGACCUCCCUCUGAUGAUAGACACUAGGUUAAUAUGAGCUGACCUCUCUCUGAUGAUAGACACUAGGUUAAUAUGAGCUGACCUCCCUCUGAUGAUAGUCACUAGGUUAAUAUGAGCUGACCUCCCUCUGAUGAUAGACACUAGGUUAAUAUGAGCUGACCUCCCUCUGAUGAUAGACACUAGGUUAAUAUGAGCUGACCUCUCUCUGAUGAUAGACACUAGGUUAAUAUGAGCUGACCUCUCUCUGAUGAUAGACACUAGGUUAAUAUGAGCUGACCUCUCUCUGAUGAUAGACACUAGGUUAAUAUGAGCUGACCUCUCUCUGAUGAUAGACACUAGGUUAAUAUGAGCUGACCUCCCUCUGAUGAUAGACACUAGGUUAAUAUGAGCUGACCUCCCUCUGAUGAUAGACACUAGGUUAAUAUGAGCUGACCUCUCUCUGAUGAUAGACACUAGGUUAAUAUGAGCUGACCUCCCUCUGAUGAUAGACACUAGGUUAAUAUGAGCUGACCUCCCUCUGAUGAUAGACACUAGGUUAAUAUGAGCUGACCUCCCUCUGAUGAUAGACACUAGGUUAAUAUGAGCUGACCUCCCUCUGAUGAUAGACAGGUAG